rnacentral:lncRNA from 1 species
GGGAGAGAUCAGGGUGGGGAGAGAUCAAGGUGGGGAGAGAUCAGGGUGGGGAGAGAUCAGGGUGGGGAGAGAUCAGGGUGGGGAGAGAUCAGGGUGGGGAGAGAUCAGGGUGGGGAGAGAGUGAUCAUUGAGGAUAGGGGGAAAGAACAUAAUAGAAGAGAGAGGAAAUUGAGGAGAAGGAGAGGACCCAGUGGAGGGUGGGAAGGAGUGAUGGUGUGAGGGAGAAAUAAAGGGGGAUGUGAAAUUGUGAUGAAGGGACGGAGAGAUGGACAGAGAGAGGAGAGGAGGAGAGUUAGAGGGGAGGAUGAAAGGGACAAAGGGAUAAAGAAGAGACUGAGGGAAGGGAGGGGGUAAAUUAAAGGAAGUCUGGGAGAGAACACAAUCCAAAGCACGCUGGAGGACAAAAUAUCACACACACCAACCACACGUAGGCAUACACUCAUCCAGAAAACACACUCAAACACGCCACACAGGGCCAAAACAAAAUCUGUCUCUUAACAUAGAAGUGGAGAGAGAGGGAGAGAGAAAGAGAGAGAGCAAUAUGGGUAAUCAGAGGGGAGGGAGUGAAACAGAUUGGGAGAGGGAGAGAGACUACACA